GGCGGGGGCACGGGGCCUACGGGAGGCAGCNGUUAGGAAUCUUGCGCAAUGGGCGAAAGCCCUGAACGCAGCCAUGCCGCGUGAAUGAUGAAGGUCUUAGGAUUGUAAAAUUCUUUCAGCGGGGACGAUAAUGACGGUACCCGCAGAAGAAGCUCCGGCUAACUUCGUGCCAGCAGCCGCGGUAAU
rnacentral:rRNA from 1 species